rnacentral:sRNA from 1 species
ACCGCGCCAGGGAUGGUAGCGGUUAUCCUUUUUGUGCGCCAGCGCAAAAAGAUAAAAGCGGACAGCCCGCCCGUGG